GCUCACUAGACAGAUCUGUUUUUAAUCUCUUAUAUUUCACUUUCUUGGCUCUGCAGCAGCACGGACAUGUUGCACUGCAUGAGUAAUAGACUGAAAGCCAAAUAAAAUAGCCGUUUCUUUAGAAUUAGAAACACAACAGCAACUAAAAACAACUUUAGCCUGCUUGGGGCCGAGCAGGAGGUGCUGGUGGGGAGGACAGCUCGGUGUCUGGAGCUUGCCUUCCAGAGCUCAAGAGUUCAGGCUUGGAUCGCUUUCAGCUGCAGGAGCGGAUGACCAGGCAGCUCAGGACAUCGGCCAGACCCUGUGGUGAGGAAACACUUCCCGUCUGGACACCAAAUCCACUGGGAUCCACAAACCUCUGAACCUAAGAGGUCAGUGAACUUGGUCUGAGAACCUGCAUUUUUAUUUCCAAGAUCCUGUUGCUGAAAUUGAACAUAUUCUUUA
rnacentral:lncRNA from 1 species